ACGGAAGGCAGCAGUGGGGGAUAUUGCACAAUGGGGGAAACCCUGAUGCAGCGACGCCGCGUGAGUGAUGAAGUAUUUCGGUAUGUAAAGCUCUAUCAGCAGGGAAGAAAAUGACGGUACCUGACUAAGAAGCUCCGGCUAAAUACGUGCCAGCAGCCGCGGUAAUACGUAUGGAGCAAGCGUUAUCCGGAUUUACUGGGUGUAAAGGGAGCGUAGACGGUUUGCCAAGUCUGAUGUGAAAGGUGGGGGCCCAACCCCCAAACUGCAUUGGAAACUGGUAGACUAGAGUGUCGGAGAGGUAAGUGGAAUUCCUAGUGUAGCGGUGAAAUGCGUAGAUAUUAGGAGGAACACCAGUGGCGAAGGCGGCUUACUGGACGAUAACUGACGUUGAGGCUCGAAAGCGUGGGGAGCAAACAGGAUUAGAUACCCUGGUA
rnacentral:rRNA from 1 species